rnacentral:rRNA from 1 species
UUUUGACUAUACAAAGGUAUUGAAAUAAGAUUUUAAUUGAAUGCUAAGAGAAUGGAAUUUCAGAAAAAAACUUUUUUCAAGUUAAAAAUUGAAAUUUUUUUAAUUUGUGCAGAAACAAUUAUUAAUAUUAAGGACAAGAAGACCCUAUGAAUUUAUAAAUUUUAUUUAAUAUGUAACUACUAUUGAAAAAAUUUUAGCUGGGGCGGCGGAAAAAUAUUUAAAACUUUUUAAAAAUAAAAUGACCCAUUAUUAAUGAUUAUAUGUUAAAUACUCUAGGGAUAACAGCGUU